ACUCCAAAGAAAAAUAAAGUUUGGAUAUUGAUUGCAAACCAUUCUCGUAUUUCAUUCUUUCACUUCACCCUUUUAGAUUUAGAUUUUCUGAAAUUAUAAAAAGUAGGGGGAGACGUGAAUUUCACACAAUAAACAAAUAUGCCAUCAUUUUGGAUCAAAUAAAUGCACCGUUUUUAUUAAGAUUGCAUUGAACCUGUGAACAAAUAUACAACUUCAGGAGGAGCCUAAAACUGAAUCGUUCAAGAAGAGUUUGUUAACCUUAGGGGAAUCCUAAGCAUUCUUACAAGAAGGGAGUUAUCAUACACUUGGAGGAACAUAAAUUUCUCAAGUGAAGGGAGUUCACAAGAAAAAGAAGAAAAAAUAACUUCAAGCAAGAGGGAGUUCUCAUACUUUAGGGGGAGUCUAAGUCUACUUUACUAAUAUACACAUACUUAGGAGGAACCUAAGUACACAAGAGAGGGAGUCUCACAUCUUGGGGGACUCUUAGUGAUCUCUAGAUGAAUUAGGCUCUACGGUUAUCACUGUAAUAGUCAUUAACAACAUAUUAAUUACAAGGUCGUUGUAAUUGCUUAACUUGAAUAUAUUAGUGAAUUGUUUUUCCUAGGUACAUUGUCCUCCGAUCAUAGGUGCAUGUUGUAUCACCAAAUUGGGUUACUAGCUCCUGUGUGAUUUGUAUUCCUCGAACUCUAAAUUUAUUCUUGUUUCUGUGAU